UCAGUUCUUACAUUCAUUUACUAACAAGACUAGGAAAACUGAGAGAGGAUCUCAACACCCUGCUUCCAGCUGAGUCAGGGGAGGAAGUGGUGAGAAAGGCUGGAAGGUGCACAGGAGCUGGAUAAAGAAGAGUCUCACAUACUGAAUUAAGGAGCUUGGAUUUUAAUCUCAUCUGGAAUUGAAGUGCUUGGAACUCUGGGAGUAUGGUGUAUGUGCUCUCCUCCACCCUGGUGGCUGGCCUAUACAGACCGUCAGUCACACAGGGUGAGGAAGCUUGGCCCAAGGAGUUAUUCUGGAGAAGUUGGAGAUCAACUUUGUUUAAGAAGUCUACACUACUUUCCUUUUGUUUCAUCAGCUUCUCCCUACCCUUUGUCCAGACACUAGAUUUCCCAUCAGUUCCUCGUUCAUGUAUUCAUCAAACCUUUACUGUGUACUGACUUUAUAACUGGCACAAAACUAGGGACUGGGC
rnacentral:lncRNA from 1 species